rnacentral:rRNA from 1 species
UACGUAGGAUCCAAGCGUUGUCCGGAUUUACUGGGUGUAAAGGGUGCGCAGGCGGACUUGUAAGUCAGGGGUGAAAUCUCACAGCUUAACUGUGAAACUGCCUUUGAUACUGCAAGUCUUGGAUCCAGAAGAGAGUUGUGGAAUUCCGAGUGUAGCAGUGAAAUGUGUAGAUAUUCGGAAGAACACCAGUGGCGAAGGCAGCCUCUCUGGGGACGGUACUGACGCUGAGACGCGAAAGCGUGGGGAGCAAACAGG